GUGCAGCAGUCGAGAAAACUUCACACUGUGCGAAAGCACGAUGAGGGAAUCCCAAGUGCUUGCACGUAAGUGUAAGCUGUUUCUCUGUCUAAAACGCAGAGAGAGUAAGGGCUGGGUAAGACGGGUGCCAGCCGCCGCGGUAAUACCUGCAGCUCAAGUGGUGACCGUUAUUAUUGGGCCUAAAACGUCCGUAGCCGGUUUAAUAAAUGCCUGGGUAAAUUGUGUAGCUUAACUAUACGAAUUCCGGGUAGACUGUUAAACUUGAGACCGGGAGAAGUUAGAGGUACUCCUGGGGUAGAGGUGAAAAUUCUGUAAUCCUAGGGGGACCACCAGUGGCGAAGGCGUCUAACUAGAACGGGUCUGACGGUGAGGGACGAAGCCCUGGGGCGCAAAACGGGGAUUAGAUACCCCUGUAGU
rnacentral:rRNA from 1 species